UGGAAAGGGUGAGACAGCAUCCCAGGGCAUAUGUUUCAGUAACCAGGGGGGUUUGAAAAGACUUACUCUAGGAUUUGUGCUCUUGUUAGUUCAUUUUAAGGAGAGCUCAAGGAGGUAAGGGCUUGCUCUGGGUUGGAAGCUGUCAGGGAGCAGGGAUAAUUUUGUGUCUGGGGAUCUCAAGGACUCUUAUCUAGAAGGAGGGAGGACUAGAGUAAUAUUAAAGCCAUAAUUUAUAAAGAAGCAGCAGGCACUCCUGUUAGCCAAGUUAGGGCAUGUCUGGGUGGUCAUUUUUGUGGUUUGAACAGUGUUUUCGUCUGUGUUUGGACAUGAUUACAGAGUGGACUUGUUUCUGUCUUGAGCCAUUGUGGUCACAGGGACCUUGUCCGAUGUGUGUUCUGUGAAAUUCUUAGGUUCAAAAGGAGAAUGCCAAGGCCGGAUGUGAGUGCCCAGCAUCAGGGGCUUGUUUUUUUCUAUCUCACAGCCUUCCGUGAGGAGCAGAAUACUUAAAGAUCACAUGAGGUGACAGAUUGGAACUGUGGCUGGAAGGAGUGGGAGAGUGUUAUGCAGGAGGAGGGAUGGCAGGAAGCCAGGGGCAGGCUGCAGCCUGUAUCAGGAGUCAGACUGUGCCCUGGAAAGGAACGCAGGAAGCGCCUUUUCUUGAGCAAGCUGGAGGCAGUUUUGGAGAUCUCAAACAAAUGGGGAAGGCACAGAAAUCCUCAUUAAGACCUUGCACCAAAAAUUGGCUAUGAGAGAAGUGGUCACCAUGUGCAAAGGAAAGCAUUGUUUCAUAGAUGCUUCAUUCCUAGGACCUGAAGGAGUGAAACUUCCACCUAAGAUGUGAAGGCUCUAAGCAGACAUCGCUGCUCCAGGUGACAUGUAGGACUUGAGGGUCCAACUCCAGCAAUCCAGGACAGUGCCAGGAAAGAGAAAAAGACUAGGACCCUGGGUGGAGGAGAAGGAGACCCAAGGGAAAAGAAGGAAAGUCCUAGAUGUCUGUCUGAGGAAGAACCUGGGCUAAAAGGUGACUCAAUAUGAAAAGCAAAGAAAUGUUUUGCACCACAGACCUGUGCCUCACACUCAAGGUAGCAAAUCAGCACCUACUGUUAACACAAUAAAGGCAAAGCACAGAAGCA
rnacentral:lncRNA from 1 species